rnacentral:rRNA from 1 species
CCUACGGGCGGCUGCAGUGGGGAAUAUUGGACAAUGGGGGCAACCCUGAUCCAGCCAUGCCGCGUGUGUGAAGAAGGCCCUCGGGUUGUAAAGCACUUUCAGUGAGGAAGAACGCCUGGUGGUUAAUACCCAUCAGGAAAGACAUCACUCACAGAAGAAGCACCGGCUAACUCCGUGCCAGCAGCCGCGGUAAUACGGAGGGUGCGAGCGUUAAUCGGAAUUACUGGGCGUAAAGCGCGCGUAGGUGGCUUGAUAAGCCGGUUGUGAAAGCCCCGGGCUCAACCUGGGAACGGCAUCCGGAACUGUCAAGCUAGAGGGCAGGAGAGGAAGGUAGAAUUCCCGGUGUAGCGGUGAAAUGCGUAGAGAUCGGGAGGAAUACCAGUGGCGAAGGCGGCCUUCUGGACUGACACUGACACUGAGGUGCGAAAGCGUGGGUAGCAAACAGGAUUAGAUACCCCGGUAGUC